CAGGCGCGGCGCUCCUGGUCACGUGGCAGGAUGGCCCCUUCCUCCGGGCGCCGGAAGUCGCGUCACCGAGCCGUGGGGCCGUGUCGGUUGUGCCUCUCCUUCCAGGACUGGGGGUGGGGGGCGCUUGGAGGUGUCUCAGCCGAGACUCACGCCUGGGAGUCCGGCGCCAGCGUCUCCUCGAACCGGUGUGGUUCGGGCUGGGGCGUGGGGACAGCCUCCUGAAGCUGAAGGGAUCGGCGAGGCCGCCUCGGACGACGUCGACCCGCGGACUACAGGUCCCAGCAUGCUGCGCUGCCUCCCACAAUGCACUUCUCCCAGCCCCAACGCGGGGGUGUCUGGGAGCCAACCGGACGCCCUCGGGAAGGCCGGCUGUGGGCCGUCUGGUGUCCGCCGUCGCUGCGGCUGUGUGCUGGGGUCCGGGGAAGUGUGGCAGCCCCAGGACGGCCGUCCCAGGCCUGAGAGGCCGGCUGCGGUUAGACGCCCUGGCCCUUAGUCGGCAGGCGAUGAGGCUGGAGCGUGGUGCUGGUCCCCAGACGGCCGGCCAUCUAGAUGGUCCUGGAGGGCUGGACAGUGACCCGUUGGGCUUGCGGUUGCAGCUCAGGGCCGCUUAGUGCUGCGGGUUGGUGAGGACGCCGACUUCAGGAUCUGCUCGAGGAAACUGCCCUUCCCCGGGAAGGAGGGCAGGCAGCCACCCUGACGCUUGUUCUCCGGCUGCCCCUCCAGGCCUGCUUCGCUGCGGCUGGACCCUUCACAGAGAGCCGCGCCGGGGCAGGUGGGGGAGGGCACAAUCCUCGGACAGCUCUCUGCUACCACCUGGAGCUCAGAUUUUGCGUCCCCAAGCCGUCUUUGCCCAGACCCCGCGUACGCAGGGUGGUCAGAUCAGAUCCCCACAGGCCCUCCUGCUGAUGAGCCUGACCCAAGAACGCCGCCGACCUUGCUCCAGAGCCUCCAGUGUGCGGCUGUAACAGCGGCGGCUCCUCCCUCUGAGGCCCCCAUGGGUCCUGCAUGAGGAGCGGCUGCUAGUGGGGCGUGACCUACCUCGACCCCACCAGGCCCCAGCCCUUUGGUUUGGGGGCUUAGGGUUCUCAUCUCUGCUGAGGUUCUGGAACCUCAGUGUCAUCUGACAUCUCCCCCUGCAAAGCUUACUUCAUGACAAUUUACCCUGAAGCACUGACUCCAACAGGAGACGUUUUAUGGCAGGCUGGAUGCUGCACCGUAGCUGGAGGGAGUCAGGAAUGGCCCAGGAGCUGCCUCAUGUGGAUGUCCCAAAGGAUUAGGGGACAGAUUUCACUGCCCUGGGGUGUUGGGCAACUGGUCGGCUUCAGGUAACACAUAAGGGUGGUUAGCAGAUGAGCUGGGGCCAGCCCAAGAACUGGACUCCCAAGUGGAGGCCUCUGCUGGGCCUCUUAACCCUGGCUUGCAAGCUCUGGAGAGCAGGUAGCUUCCUGUGGGCACACUGGUGUCCAGGGCUGGGCUUAUGCCCGGAGAAGCGGCAGGAGACGGUUGGUUUGGGGCAAGGAGCAGCCCACGACCGUAGGGACGAGUUUGUGACCAGCACUGAGAUGGCUGAAGGCAGCUCUCCUGUCGGCCUGCCUGGCACAGCUCCUCCUGGGCCACGCUUACCCGGGAGCCCUUCAGGGUCCCAUUCCCCACCCCCUGGGUGUGAAGAUGAUCCACUGGCCAAUUAGCAGUACUCUCCUCUCACUCCUGGGCUCACCCCACCCACCCCCACACCCCUGCCUUGCGCAGAGUGGAGCCUCUGGCUGGUGGGUAGAAGGAGGAGUUAGAAGCAGCCUGGACUGGGGAGAUGACCAGUUCUCAAUCCCAGUCUCCAGGCCCUGAGAUGAGCAGUUACUUAGUCUGACCUCGGUCCUCAAUGAGGUGGGAACACCAGCUCCACGUCACGGCAGUGUUUGAUGGGCACAAAUGAGAUAGCAGGAGGCCCCGUGGAGCUGAAAGGACUGACCUUGGGCCCCUCAGGUGAGGAAGCUUUGCUGGAUGCGCAGCAGAACAACAGUGUUUGGGAAAAACACCUCGAGGUGAACUUGGGUUAGACACGUUCUCAGUUUCACUGGUGCAUCUGAAUUGCAGGGCACUUUCAGGCACGUGCCCCACUAGAGGCAGCCAGAGAAUCUGCCCCAGUGUCCUGGGCCUGCGGGCGGCGGGGCUCCUGUCCCUCUGGGCCGGGCCUUCUGUCUGGGACUCUCUUCCUGAGGGGACAGGACAGGUGAGAGGUCCCCCACCAGAGCAAGUCCUGGGCCCACGGGACCAGCCUCCACCACGUCUACUGCAGCAGGGCCGGAAGUCACCUAAGCAGGAUGACCGGAGGCUGUGCCCUGCUGGGUGGCUGUCCAGGCUGUGCUCCGGGCCCGUCUGCAACUACAAACCCCGGGGUGCAAGGGCCGGCCGGGCUGAGGCUUGUAAGAAACAGCCCUGGGCCCAGGCUAGGGGCCAGUUGGCGGGGGUCAUGGCCCUAGGCUGUGGGGAGCAGUCGUGAGCACCGGGGACAUGGACUGCUCCCCUGUGGGGUGGUGGUAGCUGGUGGCAGGGAGAGGUUCAGAAGCUUGGGCCUCUCCCCUGCCCGUCUGGAGGGUCCAACUGAGCAGCCGUCCCGGGAGGGCCAGAACGAAGGCCCCUGUGUCCUGUGGCCCCAUCAGUUCACAGAGGUGAGGAGGGGUCCACCCCGGGAGCCCGAGGGUCGGGCUCGUUUCACAGCGACGAGACAUGGACUCUGCGUGGGCCUCACACACCUCAGCGGUAGUUGUCACUGUCCCAUCUUACGACGAGGAACCUGGACUUAAGCGGGAGGCGGCGGCAGCCCAGGACCCCACAGCUAUAGAUGGACAGAGCCAGCGUUCCGAGGCCAGGCAAGCUCAGGUCACUCUACUCACUGAGAGGAAUGGAUGCUUGCAGGGCAGGGUUUUAGAUCAACCUUGGGGUUUUUCAACCUCGUUACAAAUAAUAAAUGUUCUUGUUGGAGUUUCCGCCUGUUGCUCCACAAUGGUCACGUGUCCUUAUGUUUUAUUACUAACAUGAUACCGAUAAUUUCUAAUGUUGACUCCCGUCCCCUGGGAUGACCAUUUUCCCAAAGUGGUUUGUUUUCUGCACCGUGGGCGAGCCGUCACAUUCAUUUCAGGUCGUGGAGUCUGUGCCUCGCCGCUUGCUCAUGCGUUUUUGAACAAGGGAGGUUUAUCCAGGCCUGGCCGGUGGGCGGCUGUCCUCUCAGCACACUGCCCAUGCCUGUCAGAGCCCCUCUCAGACGCUGGGCUGGCCCCGGGGGCAGCCAUGCCAUGCCCCGCAAUUGCCCUGCCUUGGCCUUCAUCCUUCCAGGGUCUGGUCAGGGAUUAUUUAGAGAGAAAGUGGGAACAAAGAAACCUGAACAGCUGACAUCUGAUUGCUCUUGGUGGAACGACCGCCUGUGUCAGGGAACACACCCACAGGCUUUGAGAGGUUCUUUGGCCCAAGUCCCGGUCAUUUCACAAGUGUCUGUUCCUGGUUUAUUUCAACGCCCCCCUCCGUGCACGUGGCUGAGAUGUCAGCGCCACGGCUGUAGCUCCCACCUCCGCCUGCUGUUCGCUCCGUUUCCUUGGGGAUCAGCUUGCAGGUCCUGUGCUCAUGGCCACCAUCCUGGCUCCACUCUCCCGCCUGACUGCUCCCUCUCUGCCCCCAAAAUUCUGUCUCCCAACACCGUGCCCCCAGCCCCUAUGGUGGUCAUUACUGCCGCUGGUGGAAACCCCCCACCUCCACGCGCCUGGUGGGAGUGGCCGUGUAGGGUCAGUGUGAAUGCCGUGGACAGAUGUGGCACGUGACCCCAGAGUCCGAUUGCCGUCUGAGCCCCGCCACACCCCCCUUAUCUCUGCCGAGAUGCUCUUGUCCAUCAGCCAGGGGCCCUGGGGAACCAGUGACGGGAAGCCCACCCCCCACCACCUGGCCUGAAGUGGACCCGUGCCACAAGUGAGAAAUAAACCUUCGCUGUUUAAAACGCC